AUGGAAGCUGUAGUUGGACUGUUGUUGAUGAUGUGCGGAGUGUCUCAUGGUGUGGAAACUUACUGUGAUGGCAGACAGGAUGGAGCUCAGUGUUAUGGAGCUUUGGGAGGAACUGUGAACAUCCAGCUGAUGGACAGCACCUCAGAAAUACCUCGAUACCAAUUGUCAAAGAAUUCAUUAAAAAUACUAGAUGUGAAAAAGAAAAAUGUUAUUACUAAAAUCAAAGAACAGAGAUGUCUAAUUUUUCCAGGUAAUGGAACAUUUAGGCUUAGUAAUCUGAAAAGGAAUGACAGUGGUAGUUAUACCCUUCAAACCUUUAAUUCAGAUGGAAGAACAUCAGGCGAGUGGACUUUACAGUUGUUUAUUCAAGCUCCUGUGUCCUCUGUCCUGCUGGUCUCUGAGUGUCUGUCCCAGGGAGAGAGGAGGGUGUCCUGCUCCUCUGAGGGAGGGGACAGUCCUCAGUACAGCUGGACUCUGGAUGGACGCACACUGACAGAUGCUGAGCUCCUUCCUGGAAAUAACAAGACUAACAACAUCACUGUGAAACAGCACGUCUCAGGACAUCUGGCCUGCUCAGUCAGGAACAACAUCAGUGAUGUCUCCAAAGAGGAGAGGAUAUCUACCUGUGGUGAGUGAGGGAUUAUUAAUAAACUCUGAUAAUGGUCACUUGGUCACUUUGUACAUCAUUCAUGUAUCAUUUUCUUGUUUCUGCAUUUGCUUUAUUUUCAUUGACUGAACCUGAAUUAAUGGGAGACUAAUAUCACAUCCUUGAAUCAAAUGCCUGAUCAUACAUUAAUAAAUGAAGACCAAGUUUAAUGAAGUGGACUAAGUGUUUUUUCUCCUAUUGUAUUCUUUUUUCCAAAAACAUGUUUGUUGACUUGUUUGUUUUGUUGUGCUUUAUUUUAGAAGCAGGUACUUUGCCACUGAUCGGUGGUGUGGUUUCAGCACUGGUCAUGUUAUUACUUGUAGGUGUAGCAGUUAUCUGUGUUCAGAGGAAAAAAACAAACAACAAACCAAGCAAAAAAGAGGUAUAACUUACUUUUUAAUCACUUAACUCAUAUUAUUGGUUUUUUUUUUGCUCUUUUUGUAAAUAAACAGAAUAAUUGUUGCUUUUGCUCUUUUUAAAGUAUUUUUUUUCUUUCUAAGCGUUUUUUUCAUCCUUUCGUCAUAUUUCAGUCAAAUCUGUGGAUGUUGUUAAUAAGCACGCUAACUGGUCUGAAUCAGACAAACUGUUUUACUCUGUCACCAGUCUUUGUUCUUUCCUGUAGUGUCUGAAUGGAAAUAUGUUAUCAUGCUAAUGUUGCUUCUCUGCAAAGGAAGAAGACCAGGAAGUAAUGUAUGCUGAUGUUAGGGUCGUGCAGCAGCAGGGGAAAAAAGUGGAUGAAGGAGGAGAAGAGGUGUUGUAUGGCCAAGUCAAGUUUUCGCAGUGAUCUCAUGACACUGAACAGGAUGAUUGUUUGUAUGUCAUCAUCCAAAAAAGUCAGGUGAUUUAAGUGGUCAGUGCUUAUACACAGACUGCACCACUUAAGGCCCAUAGAGGGAGGAAGUGAUGUCAAAAUGCAUAAACGUCUUUUGAUAUCCUAUCAGAAAAAAUAUAAACCAUCAAAACUUUUGAAUACUGAUUUUCUUUGCUUCGUCUGCAUCUCUGUCUUAUAAAAGGGCAUUAAUUCACCAAGUCAUAGGAUUGUCUUGUCUUUAAUUGCAAAUGCUGUGAAUGUUUUUUGCAUUUUAUUACUGUUAAAUGUCUUAUAG
rnacentral:lncRNA from 1 species